rfam:Sphingomonas sp. WG contig_72, whole genome shotgun sequence.
GAUAUGGGGAUGGCGAUCUCCCCACGAGGCGUCAGCCAGAGAAUCGCGUCCAGCAAGAACACGCACAAGGGACGCGGCAUG